CCUACGGGAGGCAGCAGUGAGGAAUAUUGGUCAAUGGACGCAAGUCUGAACCAGCCAAGCCGCGUGCAGGAUGACGGCCCUAUGAGUUGUAAACUCCUUUUUUAAAGGAGUAAAACGAGACACGUGUGUCUUUUUGCAUGUACCUUAUGAAUACGGAUCGGCUAACUCCGUGCCAGCAGCCGCGGUAAUACGGAGGAUUCGAGCGUUAUCCGGAUUUAUUGGGUUUAAAGGGAGCGUAGAUGGGUUGUUAAGUCAGUUGUGAAAGUCCGCGGCUCAACCGUGGAAUUGCAUGUGAUACUGGUGGGCUUGAGUGCAGGUGAGGUAGGCGGAAUUCGUGGUGUAGCGGUGAAAUGCUUAGAGAUCACGAAGAACACCGAUUGCGAAGGCAGCUUACUAAACUGUGACUGACAUUGAGGCACGAAAGUGUGGGUAGCAAACAGGAUUAGAUACCCCUGUAGUC
rnacentral:rRNA from 1 species